rnacentral:rRNA from 1 species
GGAGUUUGGGCCGUGUCUCAGUCCCAAUGUGGCCGGUCACCCUCUCAGGUCGGCUACUGAUCGUCGCCUUGGUGGGCCGUUACCUCACCAACUAGCUAAUCAGACGCGGGUCCAUCUUAUACCGUCGGAGCUUUUCACACUGCAUCAUGCGAUGCUGUGCGCUUAUGCGGUAUUAGCAGUCGUUUCCAACUGUUAUCCCCCUGUAUAAGGUAGGUUACCCACGCGUUACUCACCCGUCCGCCACUCAGUCACAAAAUAAUCAAUCCCGAAGGAAAUCAAAUAGAGUGCUUCGUUCGACUUGCAUGUGUUAAGCACGCCGCCAGCGUUCAUC